GUAAUUGAUGGCACAUUAUUCUAGUCAAUUACUUUAUUAUGAAGACGAUCGUAAAAAGUCGUUAAAAGGCACAACUGUGAAACCUCUGGUGUUUGCUUCUUACGCCCAGUUUGGGGUGGAUGCUGGAGAUGAGAAUCUUGGGCGACUCAUAAUGGCAUAUGAAUCACGACCCAUUAUUCGUGGAGACCAAUUCUUGUGGUAAAUCUAUACGAACAACUUCUGAUGAUAUUACUACGGUAUUGGAUAUGAACCUGUAUUGUGGCGAAAGCUAUGUACAGUGUAGCCUGUCUUGCGUGAAGGUUUUGGGAUAAAUGAUCUCUUUUAUUUUUGGGCGGCCACCCAUAAUAAAAAUUGCAUUUUGAAAUAAUCUUUGCAAAAAAGAAUUAAUAGUAAAGUGUUGGAGAGGAAAUCUCCUAGAGUGUACUUCAAUAUAAGAUUGCAGUGGGCACUAAGUGGCAAUCAAGUCGUAUGAAUGGAAACAUCAUAUUGAUUUCUUUAAAGGGGAACCACAAUAUUGGUAACGAUAUUGUAGAAAUCAGGGAAAUCCUACUUGACCUAUGGCUCAAAGUUAAUUAUAUUGAAUGCCAAACAAUUUUU
rnacentral:sRNA from 1 species